GGGGGAUAUUGCGCAAUGGGGGCAACCCUGACGCAGCAACGCCGCGUGAAGGAUGAAGGUUUUCGGAUUGUAAACUUCUUUUAUUAAGGACGAAAAAUGACGGUACUUAAUGAAUAAGCUCCGGCUAACUACGUGCCAGCAGCCGCGGUAAUACGUAGGGAGCAAGCGUUGUCCGGAUUUACUGAGUGUAAAGGGUGCGUAGGCGGCUUUGCAAGUCAGAUGUGAAAUCUAUGGGCUCAACCCAUAAACUGCAUUUGAAACUGUAGAGCUUGAGUGAAGUAGAGGCAGGCGGAAUUCCCCGUGUAGCGGUGAAAUGCGUAGAGAUGGGGAGGAACACCAGUGGCGAAGGCGGCCUGCUGGGCUUUAACUGACGCUGAGGCACGAAAGCGUGGGUAGCAAACAGGAUUAGAUACCCUGGUAGUCCACGCUGUAAACGAUGAUUACUAGGUGUGGGGGGUCUGACCCCUUCCGUGCCGGAGUUAACACAAUAAGUAAUCCGCCUGGGGAGUACGGCCGCAAGGUUGAAACUCAAAGGAAUUGACGGGGGCCCGCACAAGCAGUGGAGUAUGUGGUUUAAUUCGAAGCAACGCGAAGAACCUUACCAGGUCUUGACAUCCAACUAACGAAGUAGAGAUACAUUAGGUGCCCUUCGGGGAAAGUUGAGACAGGUGGUGCAUGGUUGUCGUCAGCUCGUGUCGUGAGAUGUUGGGUUAAGUCCCGCAACGAGCGCAACCCUUGCUAUUAGUUGCUACGCAAGAGCACUCUAAUAGGACUGCCGUUGACAAAACGGAGGAAGGUGGGGACGACGUCAAAUCAUCAUGCCCCUUAUGACCUGGGCUACACACGUACUACAAUGGAUGUUAACAGAGGGAAGCAAGACAGCGAUGUGGAGCAAACCCCUAAAAACAUUCUCAGUUCAGAUUGCAGGCUGCAACCCGCCUGCAUGAAGAUGGAAUUGCUAGUAAUCGCGGAUCAGCAUGCCGCGGUGAAUACGUUCCCG
rnacentral:rRNA from 1 species